GUUUUUCACAAGAAUUUCAAAUUUAGAUUUUUGCACCAAAUUAAAAAUAGCAUUUAAAGACAUUGCUUUUUUGCUGGAAGUGCACUAACAUUAUGUGCUGAAAAAAAAUCCUCUAUUUCUGUAUUUUCCUUGUAUUUAGUUAAACAAAGAGAGACUUGUGAGUAUAGUUCAAGAAAAUGUUUCUUCUAUUUUUCAGUCACAUUUCCAGACAACAAACCAUCUUUUCAAAUAGACUGACAACAAAAGCAUGCUGAUUAACGUAACAACCCUGAAUCAAAUCAAAACCAACAGGAAACUACCGCUGUUUUUUGUCCUUUACUUUAAAAGGCUUUCUCUUCGUAGUUGAUGUAUGGCUGUUUGCUGCAGUAUAAUAGAACCCAAUUCAAGCUUGCAAGUGGAUUGAUGUUCCAGUAGAUGGAGCAAUAUCUCUAAAUUAUCGAUGAAUAUUCCGGAGACUAGGUGGAUGAGGGUCUGUCUGAACUGAAUCACCAGAUGCCAAAGAUAACAGCUGGUUCAGCAAUUUCUCAUAAAUCACUGGAACAUGGGACAAGGAGAAGAAACUGAGAUUUCAAUGAUAAAUACAACAAGGUGCACAAAUAAUAGAAUUGAAACCAGAUGAAAGAGGGGUCUUCACUUUGGUACAGAAGGUCAAGGAUCACAUUUCCACUUGGAGAGCACUACCCCACAUACCUUUUCCUUGUAUUCUUGAAUUAGCCAGCAACAUACCAUGAAGUUAGUUUUGGAAUAUAUACAUGGCAGGUUUAAAGAUUCAACAUAGAUUUGAAAAAUUAGUACAGUUUAUUUUAGUUAACUUCAACCUCCCCACCUCUCAGCAGUGGUAGGGAAAACAAUAUUUAUUUCAUGAGAGUGCUGCUCAAAAUACAAUACAUAAAAUUAUCAUGCCAGCAAUUAUCUUUUUUUUUCCAUUUAGUUUCACAGCACUAGGGAGCUCUAAAAUGAGGCAAAAGAUUAAUAUUAUUUUCAAAAGUAAACAGUCAUCACCUCAGAGAGAAAGGAUGGUUCAGGAGGCAGGGAACUUCCCUGGCCUGUGAGAGCUCUGGGUUCAAGUCCUUACUGUGCCCUGACUUUCUGUGUGACAAAGGCUAUUGUGAGGUUAAAUUAAAAAUGGCGAGGUGCUGGGAUUGUACAAUGAUGGGGCUGCAUAAAUACCUUAAGACAGGCUUAGCUGUGGCAACCUUGUCUCAGCAGUGCUGGAGAUAAAGGUGGAGAUAGGGUUCUGGUUCUCCUCUCAGUUAUAACUGCCACAUUGAGAUAUGGAGUGGCCUAACAAAGAAGAGAAUCAGGCUUUUGGACACCAUAAAAAACCAAAAGUGGGAAACAGUGUAGCUUCAAAUCCCUCUGGAAGACAAUGACUAUUUGCUCUGUUCCUCUCUCAACUUCCGGUUUGCAGGGGCAGAGAUUGACACCAAACCAAGCUCCAGGAACUGUUGGUAAAACUCAGCUGUAACCUCACAGAACCUAAGCCAGAUGCACAGAGGGACUGUCUCCUUCCAUACUCACCCCUCAGCAAUGGUAGUAGAAGUAGCUGACAAGCCAUGUACCAUUGGUUGCUAGGUCACCUUUGAAUCUUAGCUCUGCCCCUGAGGCUCAUAGAACAAAGAGUCUAGCUAACACUGCUCUUUGUUUCUCUGUUCCUCCAAGGCCCCCAAGUACAUGCUGUCCUAGAAGCAUACCUCAGUGUUGUAUGUGAACAGCACUGCUCUGGGGAAGCAGUCUGGGUCCCCAGUUCUA